rnacentral:rRNA from 1 species
UAGGGAAUAUUGCUCAAUGGGGGAAACCCUGAAGCAGCAACGCCGCGUGAGUGAUGAAGGCCUUCGGGUCGUAAAGCUCUGUUGUACGGGAAGAACGCGGGUAUGGCUAACAUCCAUAUCCGGUGACGGUACCGUAUAAGAAAGGACCGGCUAACUUCGUGCCAGCAGCCGCGGUAAGACGGGGGGUCCUAGCGUUGUUCGGAAUCAUUGGGCGUAAAGCGUGUGCAGGUGGUUUUGUAAGUUAGAUGUGAAAGCCCCGGGCUUAACCCGGGAAGUGCAUUUAAAACUACAAAACUUGAGUAAGGAAGAGGGUUGUGGAAUUCCUGGUGUAGUGGUGAAAUACGUAGAUAUCAGGAGGAACACCGGCGGCGAAGGCGGCAACCUGGUCCUAUACUGACACUCAUACACGAAAGCGUGGGGAUCAAACAG